AUAAAAAUCAACUUUGUUGGUGAAUCAUAAUAACUUCUCGGACCGCAUGGCCUCGUGCUGGCGGUGCUUCAUUCAAAUAUCUGCCCUAUCAACUGUCGAUGGUAGGAUAGAGGCCUACCAUGGUUGCAACGGGUAACGGGGAAUAAGGGUUCGAUUCCGGAGAGGGAGCCUGAGAAACGGCUACCACAUCCAAGGAAGGCAGCAGGCGCGCAAAUUACCCAAUCCCAACACGGGGAGGUAGUGACAAUAUGUAACAAUAUACGGCCUUAUACGUCGUAUAAUUGGAAUGAGUACAAUUUAAAUCCCUUAACGAGGAACAAUUGGAGGGCAAGUCUGGUGCCAGCAGCCGCGGUAAUUCCAGCUCCAAUAGCGUAUAUUAAAGUUGUUGCAGUUAAAAAGCUCGUAGUUGGACCUUGGACCUGGACAGGCGGUCCGCCUUACGGCGAGUACUGUCUUGCUGGGUCUUUCCUCUUGGUGAUCUGUUGUUUCGGCAG
rnacentral:rRNA from 1 species